GACGAACGCUGGCGGCGUGCUUAACACAUGCAAGUCGAGCGGUAAGGCCCUUUCGGGGGUACGACGAGCGGCGAACGGGUGAGUAACACGUGGGUGACCUGCCCUCAGCUCUGGGAUAAGCCUGGGAAACCGGGUCUAAUACCGGAUAUGACUCCAUGACGCAUGUUGUGGGGUGGAAAGCCUUGUGCGGCUGAGGAUGGGCCCGCGACCUAUCAGCUUGUUGGUGGGGUGAGGCCUACCAAGGCGACGACGGGUAGCCGGCCUGAGAGGGCGACCGGCCACACUGGGACUGAGACACGGCCCAGACUCCUACGGGAGGCAGCAGUGGGGAAUCUUGCGCAAUGGGCGAAAGCCUGACGCAGCGACGCCGCGUGAGGGAUGACGGCCUGGUUGUAAC
rnacentral:rRNA from 1 species